GCAAUACGGAUGGUGGCGACCGGCGCACGCGCCUGAGUAACACGUAUGCAACCUGCCUUCAACAAGGGGAUAACCCGUUGAUAGACGGACUAAUACCCUAUAACACAGGGGUCCCGCAUGGGAAUAUUUGUUAAAGGACAACCGGUUGAAAAUGGGCAUGUUAUCCAUUAGCUAGUUGGCGGGGUAAAGGCCCACCAAGGCAACGAUGGAUAGGGGAACUGAGAGGUUUAUCCCCCACACUGGUACUGAGACACGGACCAGACUCCUACGGGAGGCAGCAGUGAGGAAUAUUGGUCAAUGGACGCAAGUCUGAACCAGCCACGUCGCGUGAAGGAAGACGGCCCUACGGGUUGUAAACUUCUUUUAUACGGGAAUAAAGUGCCCCACGCGUGGGGUUUUGCAUGUACCGUAUGAAUAAGGAUCGGCUAACUCCGUGCCAGCAGCCGCGGUAAUACGGAGGAUCCGAGCGUUAUCCGGAUUUAUUGGGUUUAAAGGGUGCUCAGGCGGGGGAUUAAGUCGGCGGUGAAAUUUUGCAGCUCAACUGUAAAAGUGCCUUAAAAACUGGUUUCCUUGAGUGUGGAUGAGGUAGGCGGAGAUUUGUGGUGUAUCGGUGAAAUGCAUAGAUAUCACGAGGAACUCCGAUUGCGCAGGCAGCUUACUGAACCAUAAUUGACGAUCAAGCACGAAGGCGUGGGGAUCAAACAGGAUUAGAUACCCUGGUAGUCCACGCAGUAAACGAUGAUUACUGGCUGUUUGCGAUAUAGUGUAAGCGGCUGACCGAAAGCGUUAAAUAAUCCACCCGGGGAGUACGUUCGCGAGAAUGAAACUCAAAGGAAUUGACGGGGGCGCGCACACGCGGAGGAACAUGUGGUUUU
rnacentral:rRNA from 1 species